UGGCGGCGUGCUUAACACAUGCAAGUCGAACGAUGAUGGCCGUGCUUGCACGGUCGGAUUAGUGGCGAACGGGUGAGUAACACGUGAGUAACCUGCCCCCUACUUCGGGAUAACCUCGGGAAAUCGGGGCUAAUACCGGAUACGAGUUUCCGCCGCAUGGUGGUUUCUGGAAAGUUUUUCGGUGGGGGAUGGGCUCGCGUCCUAUCAGCUUGUUGGUGAGGUAGUGGCUCACCAAGGCGUUGACGGGUAGCCGGCCUGAGAGGGCGACCGGCCACACUGGGACUGAGACACGGCCCAGACUCCUACGGGAGGCAGCAGUGGGGAAUAUUGCACAAUGGGCGCAAGCCUGAUGCAGCGACGCCGCGUGGGGGAUGACGGCCUUCGGGUUGUAAACUCCUUUCAGCAGGGAAGAAGCGAGAGUGACGGUACCUGCAGAAGAAGCGCCGGCUAACUACGUGCCAGCAGCCGCGGUAAUACGUAGGGCGCAAGCGUUGUCCGGAAUUAUUGGGCGUAAAGAGCUUGUAGGUGGCUUGUCGCGUCUGCCGUGAAAACCCGAGGCUCAACCUCGGGCGUGCGGUGGGUACGGGCAGGCUAGAGUGUGGUAGGGGAGACUGGAACUCCUGGUGUAGCGGUGAAAUGCGCAGAUAUCAGGAAGAACACCGAUGGCGAAGGCAGGUCUCUGGGCCAUUACUGACACUGAGAAGCGAAAGCAUGGGGAGCGAACAGGAUUAGAUACCCUGGUAGUCCAUGCCGUAAACGUUGGGCACUAGGUGUGGGGCACAUUCCACGUGGUCCGCGCCGUAGCUAACGCA
rnacentral:rRNA from 1 species